ensembl:lncRNA
UUUUUUUUUUUUUUUUUUUUUUGCUGUUGUUGCUUGUGCUUUUGGUGCCAUAUCUAAGAAAUCAUGGCCAAAUCCAAGGUCAUGAAGACUUAUUCCUAUAUUUUCUUCUCAAAGUUUUAUGGUUUUAGCUCUUACAUUUAGGUCUUUGAUCUAUUUUGAAUUAAUUUUUAUAUAUGGUAUGAAGUACGGGUACAACUUCAUUCUUUUGCAUGUGAAUAUUCACUUGUCUUAGCACUAUUAGUUGAAGACACUGUUCUUUCUUCAUUGAGUGGUCUUGGAACCCUUGUCAAAAAAAUCAAUUGACCAUAGUGUAUUGACGUAAUUUAUUUCCGGACUUUCCAUUCUACUCUAUUGCUUUAUAUAUUUUUAUACCAACACAACACUGUUUUGAUUGAAGUAGCUUUGCAGUAAAUUUUGAAACUGGAAAAUGCGAGUCCUUCGCCUUUAUUCUUGUUCAAGAUUGUUUUGAACAAACUUGAGUGCCUUCAGUAACUUGCAAUCCUGUAAAAAUUUUAGGGUCAGCUUUUCUGUUUCUGUAAAAGGGUCACUGGAAUUUUAAUGGGGAUUUUAUUAAAUCUAUAGACUAAUUUUGGGAGUAAUGCCAUCUUAACAAUGUUAGGUCUUCCAACCUGCCAGCACAGGAUAUCUUCCAUUUAUUUAGGUCUUCUUUAAUUUCUUUCAGCAACGUUUUGUACUUUUCAGUGUCCAAGUCUUGCACUUUCUUGGUCAAAUUUAUUCGUAUUUUAUUCUUUUUCAUGUUAUUAUAAAUGGUUUUAAUUUUCUCUCAGGUUUUUCUUAGACUUUUGGGUGUUGAUCUUGCAACCUGCAACAUUGCUGAAUUUUUAAAAUCAGCUGGAAUCAUUGUGUGGAUUCUUUAGGAUUUUUAGUACAUAGGACCAUAUUUUCUGCAAAUGUAGUUUUACUUCUUCCUAUUUGGGAUUCAUUUUAUUUCUUUUUCUUGCCUAAUUGCUCUGGCUAGACCUUCUAGUAUAAUGCUGAAUAGCAGUGGGGAAACCAGGAAUUUUCAUGAUAUUAGGGGAAAAAUUUUCAAUGUUUUGCUAUUAUGUUGUUAGCUGUGGGUUUUUAUGAAUGUCUUUAUCAGAUUAAGAAAGUUCCCUUUUCUUCCUAGUUUGCAGUGUUUUUACCAUGAAAGAGUGUUGGAUUUUGUCAGAUGUUUUUUCUUAUCAACUGAGGUGAUUAUGCUGUUUUUUCCCUUCAUUCUAUUAAUAUGGUAUAUUACAUCGAUUGACAUUUGUGUGUAGAACCAUGUUCCCUGCACUUCUUUGAUAAAUCUUGCUUGGUCAUGCUGUAUGAUCAUUUUAAUAAGCUACUAGAUUUGGCCUGCUAGUAUUUUGAAGUUUUUUUGCAUCUAUAUUCAUGAGGGAUAUUGGUCUGUAGUUUCCCUGUGAGGUCUUUGGCUUUGGUGUUAAGGUAAUGCUGGCCUUGGAGAAUGGGUCACAGGGUGCUCCUUUCUAUUCCAUUGUUUGGAAGAGUUCGAGAAGGAUUAGUGUUAAUUUUUCUUCAUAUGUUUGGCAUAGUUUGCCAGUAAACUCAUUUAGUCCUGGACUUUCUUUGCUGGGAGAUUUUUGAGUAGUGGUUCAAUCUCUUUACUUGUUAUAGGGCUGUUCGGAAUUUUUAUUUCCUUUUGAGCCUGUUUUGUCAAUUGGUGUGUUUUUUAAUCUAGGUCAUCUAAAUUGUUGGCAACAAUGCUUGUUUUUAUGAAUAAAUUUGUUUAUAGUUAAGUUGCCUAAAAUACCAUGCAAUUCAUCUAAUAGGUAUAAAACUUGAAAUAUAUUGCAUCUACUUUUCUAAAGCAAAAUCUGUAAAAUUCCAUAAGAGAUUUAAACAAUUAAAAUAAAUAAUUCCUCACAUAAAAUGAAAAUUUUUUUUUUUUGAGACAGAGUCUUGCUCUGUCACCCAGGCUGGAUGGAGUGCAGUGGCGCGGUCUGGGCUCAUCACAAGCUCCGCCUCCAGGGUUCAUGAUUUUUUUUUUUUUUUUUUUUUUUAGUAGAGACGGGGUUUCACCGUGUUGGCCAGGACGGUCUCGAUCUCCUGACUUCAUGAUCCACCUGCCUCGGCCUCCCAAAGUGCUGGGAUUACAGGCGUUAGCCACUGCGCCCAGCCGAAAUCUUUCUUUUUCUCCCUAGUGGUAGGAAUAGUAAGAGUGAAGACUGCUGAGUGAGAUGGCCUUUGUAUGAAUCCCUGCUCUGCCACUUACUUGCGGUAUAUAACCUUGGGGCUAACUUCUCUGUAC